CCUACGGGAGGCAGCAGUGAGGAAUAUUGGUCAAUGGACGAGAGUCUGAACCAGCCAAGUAGCGUGAAGGAUGACUGCCCUAUGGGUUGUAAACUUCUUUUAUAUGGGAAUAAAAUGUUCCACGUGUGGCAUUUUGUAUGUACCAUAUGAAUAAGGAUCGGCUAACUCCGUGCCAGCAGCCGCGGUAAUACGGAGGAUCCGAGCGUUAUCCGGAUUUAUUGGGGUUAAAGGGAGCGUAGGUGGAUUGUUAAGUCAGGUGUGAAAGUUUGCGGCUCAACCGUAAAAUUGCAGUUGAAACUGGCAGUCUUGAGUACAGUAGAGGUGGGCGGAAUUCGUGGUGUAGCGGUGAAAUGCUUAGAUAUCACGAAGAACUCCGAUUGCGAAGGCAGCUCACUGGACUGCAACUGACACUGAGGCUCGAAAGUGUGGGUAUCAAACAGGAUUAGAUACCCUUGUAGUC
rnacentral:rRNA from 1 species